UAAUCUAUUUGGGGCAGAUCCUCAUUUAGUUAUGACAGACUCAUACUUAACUGCUUAAAAUCACUCGUUAUCACAAGUGUGACUGCAUCAUUGACAUUGAAAAACAGAGGACAACUACUGUGUGAAUAAUAACUUUUUGAAAUUUUAA
rfam:Populus trichocarpa Ptrichocarpa_Cont23002, whole genome shotgun sequence.